UACGAAGGGGGGCUAGCGUUGCUCGGAAUUACUGGGCGUAAAGCGCGUGUAGGUGGAUUGGUGUGUCAGAUGUGAAAGCCCUGGGCUCAACCCAGGAACUGCACCUGAAACUACCAGUCUUGAGUGGUGGAGAGGGAAGUGGAAUUCCUGGUGUAGAGGUGAAAUUCGUAGAUAUCAGGAGGAACACCAGUGGCGAAGGCGGCUUCCUGGACACUAACUGACGCUGAGACGCGAAAGCGUGGGGAGCAAACAGG
rnacentral:rRNA from 1 species